GAACCCGGGAGGUGAAGCCUGCAGUGAGCAGAGAUCAUGCCACUGCACUCCAGCCUGAGUGACAGACCGAGACUCCGUGUCAAAACAAAACAGAAAGAGGAAAAGGCAUUAGAUAUCCUGUUUUCACUGACCUGAGAUAGCCCUCGUGAGUCCUGCUGAACUUCUGUUAGCCACAUCCGGCUCCUUUUUUUGGGUGAAUAUGAGCAGGUAAAAAAUCAGUUUCUACAAAGACCACCCAACACACAAAGUGGGAGAAAGAGACUCAAUAUUAUUUUGCUUUUAAACUCCAAAUUAAAAUAUUUAAAAUAUUUGGAAUUUUAACAAACAUGCAUUUUGUGGGAAAAGUGGUAUAAAACACAUCAGUGGGCUGGUCGCGGUGGCUCACAAUAAUCUUAAUUACAAUUUAUUUGUGACCAAAAGUAACACAUAUCACAAUCAUUUAAUUUUUUU
rnacentral:lncRNA from 1 species